CUCCUGUUCGUCCAACUGGAAAAGACGCGUGGCUACGGACCACGAAAUCUGGGUUCGAAUCCUGGGCGGGAGGCCA
rnacentral:tRNA from 1 species